rnacentral:rRNA from 1 species
AGCAGCCGCGGUAAUUCCAGCUCCAAUAGCGUAUAUUAAAGUUGUUGCAGUUAAAAAGCUCGUAGUUGAAUUUCAGGCCUGGCUGGACGGUCCGCCCUUCGGGUGAGUACUGUCUGUGGUCGGGUCCUACCUUCUGGCGAAGCGUCAUGGCCUUAACCGGCCGUGGCGGGGAACCAGGACUUUUACUGUGAAAAAUUAGAGUGUUCAAAGCAGGCAAUCGCUUGGAUACAUUAGCAUGGAAUAAUGGAAUAGGACAAUGGUUCUAUUUGUUGGUUUCUAGGACCGUUGUAAUGAUUAAUAGGGAUAGUUGGGGGCAUUAGUAUUCAAUUGUCAGAGGUGAAAUUCUUGGAUUUAUUGAAGACUAACUACUGCGAAAAGCAUUUGCCAAGGAUGUUUUUCAUUAAUCAAGAACGAAAGUUAAGGGGAAGUCGAAGACGAAUCAGAUACCGUCGUAG